rnacentral:tRNA from 1 species
UCCCUGUUGGCUCAGAGGUUAAAGCGUCUGCCUGCAAUGCGGGAGACCUGGGUUCGAUCCCUGGAUUGGGAA